rnacentral:rRNA from 46 species
UUGACCUCGAAUCAGGUAG